GUCUAUGGCCAUACCACCCUGAACGCGCCCGAUCUCGUCUGAUCUCUUAAGCUAAGCAGGGUCGGGCCUGGUUAGUACUUGGAUGGGAGAAAUAAGUAUGGGAAGGGAUGCCUGGGUGGCACAGUCA
rnacentral:rRNA from 1 species